rnacentral:rRNA from 1 species
AUUGAACGCUGGCGGCAGGCCUAACACAUGCAAGUCGAGCGAGCGGCGGACGGGUGAGUAAUGUAUGGGGAUCUGCCUGAUGGAGGGGGAUAACUACUGGAAACGGUAGCUAAUACCGCAUACCAUCAGAUGAACCCAGAUGGGAUUAGCUUGUAGGUGGGGUAACGGCUCACCUAGGCGACGAUCCCUAGCUGGUCUGAGAGGAUGAUCAGCCACACGGGGACUGAGACACGGCCCAGACUCCUACGGGAGGCAGCAGUGGGGAAUAUUGCACAAUGGGCGCAAGCCUGAUGCAGCCAUGCCGCGUGUAUGAAGAAGUCCUUCGGGUUGUAAAGUACUUUCAGUGGGGAGGCGUUACCGGCAGAAGAAGCACCGGCUAACUCCGUGCCAGCAGCCGCGGUAAUUC